UACGUAGGUGGCGAGCGUUGUUCGGAUUUACUGGGCGUAAAGGGAGCGUAGGCGGACUUUUAAGUGAGAUGUGAAAUACCCGGGCUUAACUUGGGUGCUGCAUUUCAAACUGGAAGUCUAGAGUGCAGGAGAGGAGAAUGGAAUUCCUAGUGUAGCGGUGAAAUGCGUAGAGAUUAGGAAGAACACCAGUGGCGAAGGCGAUUCUCUGGACUGUAACUGACGCUGAGGCUCGAAAGCGUGGGGAGCAAACAGGAUUAGAUACCCUGGUA
rnacentral:rRNA from 1 species